rnacentral:rRNA from 1 species
AUACGUAGGGUGCGAGCGUUGUCCGGAAUUACUGGGCGUAAAGAGCUCGUAGGUGGUUUGUCGCGUCGUCUGUGAAAUUCCGGGGCUUAACUCCGGGCGUGCAGGCGAUACGGGCAUAACUUGAGUACUGUAGGGGAGACUGGAAUUCCUGGUGUCGCGGUGAAAUGCGCAGAUAUCAGGAGGAACACCGGUGGCGAAGGCGGGUCUCUGGGCAGUAACUGACGCUGAGGAGCGAAAGCAUGGGUAGCGAACAGGAUUAGAUACCCUGGUAGUCCAUGCCGUAAACGGUGGGCGCUAGGUGUAGGGGUCUUCCACGACUUCUGUGCCGUAGCUAACGCAUUAAGCGCCCCGCCUGGGGAGUACGGCCGCAAGGCUAAAACUCAAAUGAAUUGACGGGG